rnacentral:rRNA from 1 species
CAGUAGCCGCGGUAAUACGAAGGGUGCAAGCGUUAAUCGGAAUUACUGGGCGUAAAGCGUGCGUAGGCGGUUUGUCAAGUCUGUUGUGAAAUCCCCGGGCUCAACCUGGGAAUGGCAAUGGAUACUGGCAAGCUAGAGUGUGUCAGAGGAUGGUGGAAUUCCCGGUGUAGCGGUGAAAUGCGUAGAGAUCGGGAGGAACAUCAGUGGCGAAGGCGGCCAUCUGGGACAACACUGACGCUGAGGCACGAAAGCGUGGGGAGCAAACAGGAUUAGAUACCCGUGUAGUCCCUGUCUCUUAUAC